CCUACGGGCGGCAGCAGUGGGGAAUAUUGGACAAUGGGCGAAAGCCUGAUCCAGCCAUGCCGCGUGUGUGAAGAAGGCCUUCGGGUUGUAAAGCACUUUCAGUGGGGAAGAAAGCCUUGGGGCUAAUACCCUCGAGGAAGGACAUCACCCACAGAAGAAGCACCGGCUAACUCCGUGCCAGCAGCCGCGGUAAUACGGAGGGUGCGAGCGUUAAUCGGAAUUACUGGGCGUAAAGCGCGCGUAGGCGGUCUGAUAAGCCGGUUGUGAAAGCCCCGGGCUCAACCUGGGAACGGCAUCCGGAACUGUCAGGCUAGAGUGCAGGAGAGGAAGGUAGAAUUCCCGGUGUAGCGGUGAAAUGCGUAGAGAUCGGGAGGAAUACCAGUGGCGAAGGCGGCCUUCUGGACUGACACUGACGCUGAGGUGCGAAAGCGUGGGUAGCAAACGGGAUUAGAUACCCCAGUAGUC
rnacentral:rRNA from 1 species